CGCGAGGGCAGGAGUGAAGUUCACGGCAAUGGGGCGGCGCGGGCAGAGGGCACCGGGUCCUCGAGGUAGUAUCGCCGUUCACGAGAUCAUCCCAUAAAGGGGGCUUGUUUUGCCAUUGGCAGCAGAAGAUAGCGAAUCCCAAAAUGCGAGCACACCCCGCACCCCGGCUCUGAAAGAUUUGUUGCAAAAACGUGGCUUGGACAGAAUUUUUCAGGUGUUGGGAGUUUGGCGGCCGCAGAGGAAUUAGUUAAAGCGUUGAGAUCCAAGUACUGUAGUUUUAUCUGAAAUGAAGUUGGCUUGGCAGGAAGUAGUUUCGGUAUACAGAGUCUAAAUAGUGUUCCAUGGAGAGGCUGAGGCAAGAGGAUCGCCGCGAGUUCGAGGCUAGCCAGAAUUUAAUAGUGAGGCACUGUCAUAAAAAACAAAACGAAACAAAAAGUUACAAAACGAUAUCUUCAAAAACAGUAUUUGCUGAGAAAAAAAUACUAUUAAGUGGUAUAAUAGAGUGGGUGGGAUUUACCCCAUCCAAACAUGAUUUAAAAAAAAAACAAACCCCAAAAACUAGGUAGAGGCUAGGGGUAGCUAGUGGUAGAGUGUCAGUUUACCAGGCGCGGGAGUCUGGAUUCAAUCCUCCUCAGUACCAAGAGGAAAAAAUACCAGACAAACUGAAUAAACCAUAGAUUUUAGUUGUAAAUAUCGAGGUUGCUGUGAACUGCACUAUAUUCAGUUUUUGUGAUCAAUUUAUAUUCUGCUUUGCAUAGGGGUCCAGCGCUAAGGAACAUUUUCAAUUUGAAUAAUUUGAAAACAUGAAACGAUUUAGAUACUGAUGAGAUUAGACAGGAGAGUAGGAUGAGAAGUGUUUAAAAGUGUUGAAUUUGGGCCUGGCACGGUGAUCUCUUGCUUGCAAUCCAGGACUCAGAAGGCUGAGGCAGGAGGAUCACAAGUUUGCAUCCAGCCGGAGCGACCUGUUUUUUGGAGAAAAGGUCUUGCUAUGUAAUUGAGGCUGCCCUCAAACUUAGAAAUCUCCUGCCUCACCCACGUAAGUGCUAGGAUUACAAGUGUGCAUUUUCUUGCCCAGCUAUUAAAGACCUGUGGUCAUCCAUGUGAACCUUGUAGCCAGCAAUGAUGGCAGUAGGUCGAAGAAGAAAACUAUAAUUGAAAAGUUUGUACUCACUAGGAUUAUAAUAGUGAAGAAGGUAUAAAGGAAUAUGCUGGGUGAGGUGAGGUAUACCUGUAAUCAGUCCCACCACUCUGGGAGGCUGAGGCAGGAUGGCAAGUUCAGGCCCAAUGCGGGCAAUUUAGUGAUUUAGUGAGA
rnacentral:lncRNA from 1 species